AUCCGACUGAAUAAUAAUUUAGUAAUUAAGUCAAAACUAAUUAAAUAGUCCAGUUUUACAUGCGUACGAUCCGUACCUUGCUCAGCAAAGAGGUCAAUGUAUCUCGUGGGAAAAUCAUGCUUCUCAAGAAAUUCUGCUUCCAAAUAAGCCUUUGCACAUAAUCGAUCCCGGAAGUCUUGAGCAUUUCCAAAUGCAUCCUUAUUAAUGACCCACCCUUUCUGCGAAUUGCUGAUACAAUAUUUGGCGAAUAAGCAUAUUCUGAGAGUAAAUUCUGGAGAGAUACAUUUCUUUACAAUGAAGAGGAAUACUGCAGUUUUUGACCAAUGAUACAAGGCAGUCGAAAUUCAACGUAUUAUUGAAAACUUGAUCCUUUUCAUCACCAAUAUUCUCAAACUGUGGGAAGUAUUUUUUAAUUCUGGUGAAAUCAAUCCAGUCUCUGAAUCUAGCUUUUAAAAUAUGACUGUGGUUUCUUAUCACUUUAGCUCCUAAAAUAAUUAAGGUGUUGUUAACUGUCAUCAGCAAAAUGUGUACAAAGUUUUUACUAAGUUUUAUGGAUUCACCAAGUUUCAUCUCAUUAUCCGUGUUUUCUUCAAUGAAUUGGUCUAAGAUACUUAAGGCAAUUAUGCCAGCCGUUUCAUGCAACCGCCCAAGAAAAUAUUUUAGAUUAUUGGAUAAUUUAUCUUCCCUUCUUCCCAAUAAGUAGUUGACCUGACCUGGCAUUACAUAUAUGAAAUCAAAUACAUUCAUAAUUAAGUUACACAAAUUCCACAAUAUAUGAAUGUAUUUAUGUACCCUUUAAAACGCCAAGCCCAAUUCCAGCAUCAUGCAGCAUGUCAAUUUUUUUAUAGUUAUUCAAGUAAAAUGAAUUUACGAUUCUAUCAAUUGAAUUUAGCAGUUGUUUUGCAUCCUCUGGCCGAUACGGGCAUGAGUUUUCCUGGAAAGGAUAAAUGCUGUAUUAAUGCAUCGCCAUAAAAUUUAUAAAAUUUAUAAUUAAAAGGAAUUUCUGAUUAAUUACAGGAAGCUCUUGGAUGAUAGCUACAGGUCGAUUUGUCCUUGGUGGGUAUAAGUUGAUACGUUCUCUCAAGGAAAGCAAUGUUCCACCAGCAAUGUCGCUCUAUUUUAAUUGAGAAAUUUAAACUUUGUAAAUUCAAUGGAAUUAUAAUGAAAUGGCCGAUAUCGUUUGCAGUUGUAUUUGUUUAGGGGUUCUUACUGCAGUUUCAAGACGACACUGAAAUGUUAUCCCCAUAAUUAGAAAUAUUUUAAAUGAAAACAUGAUUUAUGUUUGUGAACGAUUUUCUGUAAGAAUGUAUUUUAUUGGAUGAUUUACCUCAACUUUAA